CUUGGUGCUUAAAGCGAUGGGGGUACACCUCUUCCCAUACCGAACAGAGCAGUUAAGCCCAUCAGCAUCGAUGAUACUCGGAGCUAACAGCUCCCGGGAAAGUAGACCGGCGCCAAGA
rnacentral:rRNA from 1 species